GGGAACUCUAGUCAGCCAUCUUGCUGAUGUUCUAAAUUCUAUUUUUAAAAGAUCACUCUGGCUGUUGUAAGGAGAACUGCUUGGGAUGUGGUGAGGGGCAGGAAUGUCACCAAGAUCAGCUGGAGACUGUUGAAAGUCCUCCAGGAGGGAGAAUCAUGGCUUGACUCAGGACCUUCUGAUAGAGAUUAUGAAACUGAUCAUAUAUGGGAUAUCUUUUGAAGGUAGAACCAAUUGGAUUUGCUAAGGGCAGUACACGGAGGAG
rnacentral:lncRNA from 1 species